AGCCUAUCCUAGCCUCACCUACUAUAUAACCAAAAACCCACUAUCCCACCCAACUAAAACAUUCCCCCCAANNCUUAGUAUAGGCGAUAGAAAAGUACACCNAGAGCGCCAUAGAGAGAGUACCGUAAGGGAAAAGAUGAAAUAGCAAUGAAAACCAAGCACUACACAGCAAAGACAAACCCUUGUACCUUUUGCAUCAUGAUCUAGCAAGAACAAACAGGCAAAACGAACUUAAGCCCGCUACCCCGAAACCCAAGCGAGCUACUCACAAGCAGCUACCAUGAGCAAACCCGUCUCUGUUGCAAAAGAGUGGGAUGACUUGUUAGUAGAGGUGAAAAGCCAACCGAGCUGGGUGAUAGCUGGUUGCCAGCGAAACGAAUUUAAGUUCUCCCUUAACCCCUCCUCCAGGGCAACAAAUCCAAACCUCCAUGCAGUGGAUUAAGAGCUACCUAAAGGGGGUACAGCCCCUUUAAAAAAGGAUACACCCUCCAUUAGCGGAUAACCCCCACCCACCUACAACCUGNNNUGGGCCUUAAAGCAGCCACCCCAAAAGAAUGCGUCAAAGCUCCAAACCAAAAAUUCAGAAACAACACGACUCCCUAUAUCUUUAGCCGGCUAACCUAUAACAAUAGAUGAAUCAAUGCUAGAACGAGUAACCAGGACACCUUCCCCUCAAGCGCUAGCGUAUAUACCAUUAACAGNNNCCUAACAUCAAUGUUCAAUCCNNNNCNNCACAAGACCAAACAUUGAACAUACCCUGUUAACCCAACCCAGGAGCGCACNNNACUAGGAUGAUUAAAAUCUACAAAAGGAACUCGGCAAACCCAGGGCCCGACUGUUUACCAAAAACAUAGCCUUCAGCCAAACAAGUAUUGAAGGUGAUGCCUGCCCAGUGACAUCACCAUGUUUAACGGCCGCGGUAUCCUAACCGUGCAAAGGUAGCGCAAUCAAUUGUCCCAUAAAUCGAGACUUGUAUGAAUGGCUAAACGAGGUCCUAACUGUCUCCUGUAGAUAAUCAGUGAAACUGAUCCCCCCGUGCAAAAGCGGGGAUAAGCACACAAGACGAGAAGACCCUGUGGAACUUCAAAAUCAAUAGCCACUACACCCAACCCAAAANNNCCUAUCAGGCCCACUACUNNNCAAAAAACUGGCUAACAUUUUUAGAUUGGGGCGAUCUUGGAGAAAAACAAACCCUCCAAAAAUAGGACCAACACCCCUAGUCAAGAACAACCAUUCAACACGCUAACAGCACCCAGACCCAAUAAAAUUGACCAAUGAACCAAGCUACCCCAGGGAUAACAGCGCAAUCUCCCCCAAGAGCCCCUAUCGACGAGGAGGUUUACGACCUCGAUGUUGGAUCAGGACAUCCUAGUGGUGUAGCCGCUACCAAGGGUUCGUUUGUUCAACGAUUAACAGUCCUACGUGAUCUGAGUUCAGACCGGAGCAAUCCAGGUCGGUUUCUAUCUAUGACCAACCCUUCCCAGUACGAAAGGACCGGAAAGGUAGGGCCAAUACCCCAAGCACGCCCUCACCUCAAGUGAUGACCCCAACUAAAUCACUAAAGGCCCACACUCACUUGNCCUCUAGAAAAGAGCC
rnacentral:rRNA from 1 species